rnacentral:rRNA from 1 species
CCUACGGGAGGCAGCAGUCGAGAAUCAUUCACAAUGGGGGAAACCCUGAUGGGGCGACGCCGCGUGGGGGAAUGAAGGUCUCCGGAUUGUAAACCCCUGUCAUGUGGGAGCAAAUUAAAAAGAUAGUACCACAAGAGGAAGAGACGGCUAACGCUGUGCCAGCAGCAGCGGUAAUACGGAGGUCUCAAGCGUUGUUCGGAACCACUGGGCGUAAAGCGUGCGUAGGCUGUUUCGUAAGUCGUGUGUGAAAGGCGCGGGCUCAACCCGCGGACGGCACUUGAUACUGCGAGACUAGAGUAAUGGAGAGGGAGCCGGAAUUCUCGGUGUAGCGGUGAAAUGCGUAGAUAUCGGGAGGAACACUCGUGGCGAAGGCGGGUUCCUGGACAUUAACUGACGCUGAGGCACGAAGGCCAGGGGAGCGAAAAGGAUUAGAUACCCGUGUAGUC